GAGAGAGGAAGGGCGGCUUCCGGCGGCAACGCUGAGGAAAGUCCCCUCACCUUCUGGACCGCGGAUGCCUGUUAAGGGUAUAGGGUGAGAAUCCUGGCUCUGGAACAGAAACGAUACCGCUGCGCAGAAAUGCGAUGAUUUUGUAAGAAUGAGGUCAUGCGCAUGCGGAUGGAACGGCGAAUCCACGCGGGUGCAAGCCGAAAUAGGACUAAAAGGGCAGUCCAGACCUGUCCGAGUACGGCGCAUAGCUGAAUGCUGCAUAAGCGCUACAGGGGCACUCGCUCCUUGCGCUAAACAUAAAGGGGCUUACUCUCCUCACUC
rnacentral:RNase_P_RNA from 1 species